GAGUUGUGGCACAAGUGCUGGCGAUGACAUCCAGGUCGAAGCGUAUGAAACAGAAGACAUAGUUAUAGACAAUUUACGCAAAUUAGAUGAUGGGAACGAGGAAAUUUUAAUGGGGUCUAAUACAAAUGAAUGCAAUGCUAACGAUGAUCAAUGUAAU